UACGGAGGGUGCAAGCGUUAAUCGGAAUUACUGGGCGUAAAGCGUGCGCAGGCGGCUUUUUAAGUCGGAUGUGAAAUCCCCGGGCUUAACCUGGGAAUUGCAUUCGAUACUGGAAGGCUAGAGUCUGGAAGAGGAGAGUGGAAUUUCGGGUGUAGCGGUGAAAUGCGUAGAUAUCCGAAGGAACAUCAGUGGCGAAGGCGACUCUCUGGUCCAAGACUGACGCUCAGGCACGAAAGCGUGGGGAGCAAACAGG
rnacentral:misc_RNA from 1 species